UGCCCAGACUCCUACGGGAGGCAGCAGUGGGGGAUAUUGCACAAUGGGGGGAACCCUGAUGCAGCGACGCCGCGUGGGUGAAGAAGUAUUUCGGUAUGUAAAGCCCUAUCGGCAGGGAAGAAAUUGGACGGUACCUGACUAAGAAGCCCCGGCUAACUACGUGCCAGCAGCCGCGGUAAUACGUAGGGGGCAAGCGUUAUCCGGAUUUACUGGGUGUAAAGGGAGCGUAGACGGCCAGACAAGUCUGAAGUGAAAAUCCAGCGCUUAACGUUGGAAGUGCUUUGGAAACUGCCGGGCUAGAGUGCAGGAGGGGCAGGCGGAAUUCCUAGUGUAGCGGUGAAAUGCGUAGAUAUUAGGAGGAACACCAGUGGCGAAGGCGGCCUGCUGGACGAUGACUGACGUUGAGGCCCGAAAGCGUGGGGAGCAAACAGGAUUAGAUACCCUGGUAGAC
rnacentral:rRNA from 1 species